rnacentral:rRNA from 1 species
ACAUGCAAGUCGAGCGGACAGAAGGGAGCUUGCUCCCGGAUGUUAGCGGCGGACGGGUGAGUAACACGUGGGUAACCUGCCUGUAAGACUGGGAUAACUCCGGGAAACCGGAGCUAAUACCGGAUAGUUCCUUGAACCGCAUGGUUCAAGGAUGAAAGACGGUUUCGGCUGUCACUUACAGAUGGACCCGCGGCGCAUUAGCUAGUUGGUGAGGUAACGGCUCACCAAGGCGACGAUGCGUAGCCGACCUGAGAGGGUGAUCGGCCACACUGGGACUGAGACACGGCCCAGACUCCUACGGGAGGCAGCAGUAGGGAAUCUUCCGCAAUGGACGAAAGUCUGACGGAGCAACGCCGCGUGAGUGAUGAAGGUUUUCGGAUCGUAAAGCUCUGUUGUUAGGGAAGAACAAGUGCAAGAGUAACUGCUUGCACCUUGACGGUACCUAACCAGAAAGCCACGGCUAACUACGUGCCAGCAGCCGCGGUAAUACGUAGGUGGCAAGCGUUGUCCGGAAUUAUUGGGCGUAAAGGGCUCGCAGGCGGUUUCUUAAGUCUGAUGUGAAAGCCCCCGGCUCAACCGGGGAGGGUCAUUGGAAACUGGGAAACUUGAGUGCAGAAGAGGAGAGUGGAAUUCCACGUGUAGCGGUGAAAUGCGUAGAGAUGUGGAGGAACACCAGUGGCGAAGGCGACUCUCUGGUCUGUAACUGACGCUGAGGAGCGA